CCAAGCUUGAGUUUGAUCCUGGCUCAGGAUGAACGCUAGCGGCAGGCUUAAUACAUGCAAGUCGUGGGGCAGCAGGGGUAGCAAUACCCGCUGGCGACCGGCAAACGGGUGAGGAACAUGUACGCAACCUACCUUUAACUGGAGGAUAGCCCCUCGAAAGAGGGAUUAAUACUCCGUAACAUAAUGAAGUGGCAUCGCUUUAUUAUUAUAGCUCCGGCGGUUAAAGAUGGGCGUGCAGCUGAUUAGGCAGUUGGCGGGGUAACGGCCCACCAAACCUACGAUCAGUAACUGGUGUGAGGGCACGACCAGUCACACGGGCACUGAGACACGGGCCCGACUCCUACGGGAGGCAGCAGUAAGGAAUAUUGGUCAAUGGAGGCAACUCUGAACCAGCCAUGCCGCGUGAAGGAUUAAGGCCCUCUGGGUUGUAAACUUCUUUUAUAUGGGAAGAAAUGUUCUGAUUCUUCAGAGCUUGACGGUACCAUAGGAAUAAGCACCGGCUAACUCCGUGCCAGCAGCCGCGGUAAUACGGAGGGUGCAAGCGUUAUCCGGAUUCACUGGGUUUAAAGGGUGCGUAGGUGGGCAGAUAAGUCAGUGGUGAAAUCUUCCGGCUUAACCGGAAAAUUGCCGUUGAUACUAUUUGUCUUGAAUAUUGUGGAGGUAAGCGGAAUAUGUCAUGUAGCGGUGAAAUGCUUAGAUAUGACAUAGAACACCAAUUGCGAAGGCAGCUUACUAUAUAAUUAUGACACUGAGCACGAA
rnacentral:rRNA from 1 species